GCAAAGUUCAUUUUCCUUAUACUAAAUCUAACACUUUUGUCGUUUGUUUUCCUUCCUGACCGCUUUACUUCCUUCUUUUUUCUUUGGCACCAAGUCUUUAAAACCUUUAGCAUUUUUUGGCCAUUUUGAAAUGUAUCUUUGUGCAGAAACUGUGCGUACCUACCUAUCUAUAGAAAUGUUUUUAUUUCAGGGUGUAGGUUCUAUGUUAACGAUCGUUGUUACAAUGUUCUGCUAGACUUUUCGCUAGCUAAGUUAGCUAAGUGAACACAUUUAGCGGCCAAAUUUUAAAAUUCCCUUACUAUAAUGUCCCGAUGUACUACACCCGACCUCUUACGACUAUUAAGUAGUUUUUUGUUUGCAACUAACUUA